GAGGAAUAUUGGGCAAUGCCCGCAAGGGUGACCCAGCAACGCCGCGUGGAGGAUGAAUGUCGUAAGAUUGUAAACUCCUGUUAGAGGGGAAGAAUAGUACCGGUUGGACCGGUAUAUGACUGUACCCUCAGAGAAAGCCCCGGCUAACUUCGUGCCAGCAGCCGCGGUAAUACGAAGGGGGCUAGCGUUGUUCGGAAUUACUGGGCGUAAAGCGCACGUAGGCGGAUAUUUAAGUCAGGGGUGAAAUCCCGGGGCUCAACCCUGGAACUGCCUUUGNUACUGGGUAUCUAGAGUAUGGUAGAGGUGAGUGGAAUUCCGAGUGUAGAGGUGAAAUUCGUAGAUAUUCGGAGGAACACCAGUGGCGAAGGCGGCUCACUGGACCAUUACUGACGCUGAGGUGCGAAAGCGUGGGGAGCAAACA
rnacentral:rRNA from 1 species